AUCCUUUUCUGGUUUUUAAGGAUGAUGACUGGGUGUUCAUGCAUUUUUGUGUUAUGUGCCUUCCUCAAACCUUGUUAUAUCAGCCCAAUAACCCUUCUGAUC